GCGGUCGUAGCUCAAUUGGUUAGAGCGCCGGUUUGUGGUACCGGAGGUUGCGGGUUCAAUCCCCGUCGUCCGCCCCA
rnacentral:tRNA from 2 species